rnacentral:rRNA from 1 species
GUGAACGCUGGCGGUAGGCCUAACACAUGCAAGUCGAACGGCAGCACAGUAAGAGCUUGCUCUUACGGGUGGCGAGUGGCGGACGGGUGAGGAAUACAUCGGAAUCUACUUUUUCGUGGGGGAUAACGUAGGGAAACUUACGCUAAUACCGCAUACGACCUACGGGUGAAAGCAGGGGAUCUUCGGACCUUGCGCGAUUGAAUGAGCCGAUGUCGGAUUAGCUAGUUGGCGGGGUAAAGGCCCACCAAGGCGACGAUCCGUUGCUGGUCUGAGAGGAUGAUCAGCCACACUGGAACUGAGACACGGUCCAGACUCCUACGGGAGGCAGCAGUGGGGAAUAUUGGACAAUGGGCGCAAGCCUGAUCCAGCCAUACCGCGUGGGUGAAGAAGGCCUUCGGGUUGUAAAGCCCUUUUGUUGGGAAAGAAAAGCAGCAGGUUAAUACCCCGCUGUUCUGACGGUACCCAAAGAAUAAGCACCGGCUAACUUCGUG